UAGUGCGUAAACUGAACCCACACUUUUGGCAUCGUACUGCGUCGCAACGCGCCAGCCAAUGAACUAACCGAUGAUGACAUUCAAUUAAAUAAUUUUGUGUAAGUUAAUUUCACAAAACCCAGUUUCAUUCUGAAUGUUAACGACAUAAACAAGGUAUGACUCUCAUCAAGGUUGAAAUUGAGUUUUGGUGAAACUCUUUGAGCCUCCUGGAUGUUAAUUACCCAGUGCCGGCUGGAUUUGCGAGAGGGAGCAGAACGGAAUGCAUUACUGGUGCCGGAAGUACAUUGUAGUGAAAGUGUCUUAUCUGCUACAAUGGCUGCUCUGGGUGGGACGUGGAGUCGCUGAAUGUAAUCCGCCCGCAUCGGCACAAUGAGACGUUGGUUUUCCCAAUGGUGUGGUUGGAAUCGGAGGCUCAGGCUAAAUCGCUCCGUCCCGCUUGCCUGGACCAGGAUCGCCCGGAGGGAGGUGACUUGACCUGAUGGGGGAAGAAUGUGCCACAAAUUGAAUAUCGAGGGUGAGGACUUCAAUACGCUUAGAAAGCAGCAGCAGUUUGUGCUCAAGACAUAAUUAAUUUAACAAAGUUAACUGGCAAGGAAUGUCAGCCCAAUAACGAGAUUCAGAAAUGUGAUGGAUUGCAAUCUGGAAUGACUCGUGGAGUGGUCUGCUUUGAAAUCAGAAUGCUGUCUUGCAGAAACUCCAUCAAUUUUUAAACUUUUGCACUGAAAUUUGAAUGUGAAUUGUGACUUUUCCAGCUUUUGCCUUAAUCUUUUUAAACUUGGCAUUGCUGGAUUUGUGAUAUGCAACAGGUGGUAGAAUUAACAAAUCAUUUAGGUGUUUCAGUUGUAUGGUAAAUAAAAUCAGCUGUUAAUAUGGAAUAAUAUUUUAAUGACAAAUAAAAUUGUAGU